GCCAGCGUAGCUCAGUUGGUAGAGCUACUGAUUUGUAAUCAGUGGGUCGGGGGUUCGAGUCCCUUCGCUGGCUCCA
rnacentral:tRNA from 9 species